rnacentral:rRNA from 1 species
CCGGUAGUGGGGGAUAACCUGGGGAAACCCAGGCUAAUACCGCAUACGUCCUACGGGAGAAAGGGGGCUCCGGCUCCCGCUAUUGGAUGAGCCUAUGUCGGAUUAGCUAGUUGGUGAGGUAAUGGCUCACCAAGGCGACGAUCCGUAGCUGGUCUGAGAGGAUGAUCAGCCACAUCGGGACUGAGACACGGCCCGAACUCCUACGGGAGGCAGCAGUGGGGAAUAUUGGACAAUGGGCGAAAGCCUGAUCCAGCCAUGCCGCGUGUGUGAAGAAGGCCCUCGGGUUGUAAAGCACUUUCAGCGAGGAAGAACGCCUAGUGGUUAAUACCCACUAGGAAAGACAUCACUCGCAGAAGAAGCACCGGCUAACUCCGUGCCAGCAGCCGCGGUAAUACGGAGGGUGCAAGCGUUAAUCGGAAUUACUGGGCGUAAAGCGCGCGUAGGUGGCUUGAUAAGCCGGUUGUGAAAGCCCCGGGCUCAACCUGGGAACGGCAUCCGGAACUGUCAAGCUAGAGUGCAGGAGAGGAAGGUAGAAUUCCCGGUGUAGCGGUGAAAUGCGUAGAGAUCGGGAGGAAUACCAGUGGCGAAGGCGGCCUUCUGGACUGACACUGACACUGAGGUGCGAAAGCGUGGGUAGCAAACAGGAUUAGAUACCCUGGUAGUCCACGCCGUAAACGAUGUCGACCAGCCGUUGGGUGCCUAGCGCACUUUGUGGCGAAGUUAACGCGAUAAGUCGACCGCCUGGGGAGUACGGCCGCAAGGUUAAAACUCAAAUGAAUUGACGGGGGCCCGCACAAGCGGUGGAGCAUGUGGUUUAAUUCGAUGCAACGCGAAGAACCUUACCUACUCUUGACAUCCUGCGAACUUGUGAGAGAUCACUUGGUGCCUUCGGGAACGCAGAGACAGGUGCUGCAUGGCUGUCGUCAGCUCGUGUUGUGAAAUGUUGGGUUAAGUCCCGUAACGAGCGCAACCCUUGUCCUUAUUUGCCAGCGGGUAAUGGCGGGAACUCUAAGGAGACUGCCGGUGACAAACCGGAGGAAGGUGGGGACGACGUCAAGUCAUCAUGGCCCUUACGAGUAGGGCUACCAACGUGCUACAAUGGCCGGUACAAAGGGUUGCAAGCUCCCGAAGAUCAGCUAAUCCCGAAAGCCGGGUUCAGUCCGGAUCGGAGUCUGCACUCGACUCCUGGAAUCGGAAUCC